CCCUUAGAUGUUCUGGGCCGCACGCGCGCUACACUGAUGCAUUCAACGAGUUUCCUUGACCGAGAGGUCUGGGCAAUCUUUUGAACGUGCAUCGUGAUAGGGAUAGAUUAUUGCAAUUAUUAAUCUUGAACGAGGAAUUCCUAGUAAACGCAGAUCAUCAAUCUGCAUUGAUUACGUCCCUGCCCUUUGUACACACCGCCCGUCGCACCUACCGAUUGAACGGUCCGGUGAAAUCUUGGGAUUUGCUUUGCUUUCGUUUGUUCGAUGCUCGGCGAAGAACUUGAGUAAACCUUACCGUUUAGAGGAAGGUGAAGUCGUAACA
rnacentral:rRNA from 1 species